rnacentral:rRNA from 1 species
UGAAGAGUUUGAUCCUGGCUCAGGAUGAACGCUAGCGGCAGGCCUAACACAUGCAAGUCGAACGGUAACAGAGAAAAGCUUGCUUUUUUGCUGACGAGUGGCGCACGGGUGCGUAACGCGUAUACAAUCUACCUUUUACAGGGGGAUAGCCUUUAGAAAUGAAGAAUAAUACCCCAUAGUAAGUAUUUUUCGCAUGGAAAAUACUUUAAAGAUUUAUCGGUAAAAGAUGAGUAUGCGUUCUAUUAGCUAGAUGGUAAGGUAACGGCUUACCAUGGCAACGAUAGAUAGGGGCCCUGAGAGGGGGAUCCCCCACACUGGUACUGAGACACGGACCAGACUCCUACGGGAGGCAGCAGUGAGGAAUAUUGGACAAUGGAGGCAACUCUGAUCCAGCCAUGCCGCGUGCAGGAAGACUGCCCUAUGGGUUGUAAACUGCUUUUGUACAGGAAGAAACCUUUCCACGUGUGGAGAGCUGACGGUACUGUAAGAAUAAGGAUCGGCUAACUCCGUGCCAGCAGCCGCGGUAAUACGGAGGAUGCAAGCGUUAUCCGGAAUCAUUGGGUUUAAAGGGUCCGUAGGUGGAUUGGUCAGUCAGAGGUGAAAUCCUGCAGCUCAACUGUAGAACUGCCUUUGAUACUGCCGGUCUUGAAUUAUUGUGAAGUGGUUAGAAUAUGUAGUGUAGCGGUGAAAUGCAUAGAUAUUACAUAGAAUACCAAUUGCGAAGGCAGAUCACUAACAAUAUAUUGACACUGAUGGACGAAAGCGUGGGGAGCGAACGGGAUUAGAUACCCCGGUAGUCCACGCCGUAAACGAUGGUCACUAGCUGUUCGGACUUCGGUCUGAGUGGCUAAGCGAAAGUGAUAAGUGACCCACCUGGGGAGUACGUUCGCAAGAAUGAAACUCAAAGGAAUUGACGGGGGCCCGCACAAG